AAUAACUUGAUCACAUGGCAAGCUUUCUUCAGGCUGCUGUUGAUUACAAAAAGAAACUUGGCUUCAAGGGAAAUCUGCUUUUGGAACCCAAGCCGCAAGAACCUACAAAACACCAAUAUGACUGGGAUGCUGCAACAACCUUUACUUUCCUU